rnacentral:rRNA from 1 species
UACGUAGGUGGCAAGCGUUGUCCGGAAUUAUUGGCGUAAAGCGCGCGCAGGCGGUCCUUUAAGUCUGAUGUGAAAGCCCACGGCCUCAACCGUGGAGGGUCAUUGGAAACUGGGGGACUUGAGUGCAGAAGAGGAAAGCGGAAUUCCACGUGGUAGCGGUGAAAUGCGUAGAGAUGUGGAGGAACACCAGUGGCGAAGGCGGCUUUCUGGUCUGUAACUGACGCUGAGGCGCGAAAGCGUGGGGAGCAAACAGG